GAUGAACGCUGGCGGCGUGCCUAACACAUGCAAGUCGAACGGGCCAAGUUUACUUGGUCAGUGGCGGACGGGUGCGUAACACGUAGGUGACCUGCCCUCGAGUGGGGAAUAAUUCCGCGAAAGCGGGACUAAUACCGCAUGAGGUCGCUCCUUCGCUGGGGUGACGAAAGCAGCAAUGUGCUUGAGGAUGGGCCUGCGGCGGAUUAGCUAGUUGGUGGGGUAACGGCCUACCAAGGCGAUGAUCCGUAGGGGGCGUGAGAGCGUGACCCCCCACAUUGGCACUGAGAUACGGGCCAAACUCCUACGGGUGGCAG
rnacentral:rRNA from 1 species